CGGUGUUUGGCACCUCGAUGUCGGCUCAUCACAUCCUGGGGCUGAAGUAGGUCCCAAGGGUAUGGCUGUUCGCCAUUUAAAGUGGUACGCGAGCUGGGUUUAGAACGUCGUGAGACAGUUCGGUCCCUAUCUGCCGUGGGCGCUGGAGAACUGAGGGGGGCUGCUCCUAGUACGAGAGGACCGGAGUGGACGCAUCACUGGUGUUCGGGUUGUCAUGCCAAUGGCACUGCCCGGUAGCUAAAUGCGGAAGAGAUAAGUGCUGAAAGCAUCUAAGCACGAAACUUGCCCCGAGAUGAGUUCUCCCUGACUCCUUGAGAGUCCUGAAGGAACGUUGAAGACGACGACGUUGAUAGGCCGGGUGUGUAAGCGCAGCGAUGCGUUGAGCUAACCGGUACUAAUGAACCGUGAGGCUUAACCUU
rnacentral:rRNA from 1 species